rnacentral:rRNA from 1 species
UACGUAGGGUGCGAGCGUUGUCCGGAAUUAUUGGGCGUAAAGGGCUCGUAGGCGGUCCAUCGCGUCGGGAGUGAAAAGCUGGGGCUUAACCCCAGUCCUGCUUUCGAUACGGGUGGACUAGAGGUAGGCAGGGGAGAAUGGAAUUCCUGGUGUAGCGGUGAAAUGCGCAGAUAUCAGGAGGAAUACCGGUGGCGAAGGCGGCAUCCUGGACCGAGAUUGACGCUGAUGCGCGAAAGCCAGGGGAGCAAACGGG